UAUGUAUGUUAAAAGGGAAUGGAGUUUACUUGGCUUGUUAGUUGGUCUGCCAUGAAGAAAUCCACCAUCAAGACCUGAAUUUAACACAAGAGAAUGUUUUGUACCCUGUAAAGUGGAGAGCAUGCAAUGUUGCGCAUGACACGCAAGAAGCAGUACCGAGUUGAUCGGUAACAAAUGUUAAAUGGGCAGAAGAGCAUUGCAAUGAACAUCUGAAAUCAAAGAUAAAAUUGAAUGGCGUCGAUGUGACGUGGAAAGAUGCCGGCUGAUCUCAGCAAUAGGUGGAUAACCAUGGCAGCCACCACCAUGGUCAUGAAGGAAGUGCAGAUAAGGAAAGGCAUCCCU